CUGGGCUUGGAGUAUUCUUGUAAUACCUGAAACAUCUGUCAAUCAACCUUUAAUAAGGGAUGUUGUAGGCACCCUCCUCCCAUCAGCCAAAACCGCAAUAGGAGCUGUAGCUGGCUAAAUGUCAAAUUAUCACAGCGCUCAUUGCUGGAUAGCCAGAAGGAAGUUAUGGAGUCUCUGCCUUAGCCAUACUCCCAGUAAGUGCCCGGGACAGUCAUUAAAAGUUAAACUGUUUGAAGUUGUUAUAGUGCCUGGGAGCCCCAGGCACUGUACCUCUAGUGUUAAACCAUUUUCAAUGAGAUGU